GACGAACGCUGGCGGCGUGCCUAAUACAUGCAAGUCGAACGCAGUGGGGACGGGUGAGUAACACGUGGGUAACCUCCCCUCAGAGGGGAUAACACUUGGAAACAGGUGCUAAACCGCUACUGAUGGCUGGACCCGCGGUGCAUUAGCUAGUGGGUGAGGUAACGGCGGACCAAGGCCACGAUGCAUAGACGACCGGAGAGGGUGAGCGGACACACUGGGACUGAGAAACGGCACAGACUCCUACGGGAGGCAGCAGUAGGGAAUCUUGGGCAAUGGACGAAAGUCUGACCGAGCAACGCCGCGUGAGUGAAGAAGGUUUUCGGAUCGUAAAGCUCUGUUGUUAGAGAAGCGGUAUCUAACCAGAAAGCCACGGCUAACUACGUGCCAGCAGCCGCGGUAAUUC
rnacentral:rRNA from 1 species